rnacentral:tRNA from 1 species
GACCCGGUAGCUCAACGGAUAGAGCAACUUCCUUCUAAGAAGUAGGUUGAGAGUUCGAUUCUCUCCCGGGUCG